AGUAAAUUGGUUAAGUUAGAAAGGGCGCACGGUGGAUGCCUUGGCACUAGGAGCCGAAGAAGGACGGGACUAACACCGAUAUGC
rnacentral:rRNA from 1 species